AUGCCUAGGAAUCUGCCUGGUAGUGGGGGAUAACGUCCGGAAACGGGCGCUAAUACCGCAUACGUCCUGAGGGAGAAAGUGGGGGAUCUUCGGACCUCACGCUAUCAGAUGAGCCUAGGUCGGAUUAGCUAGUUGGUGGGGUAAAGGCCUACCAAGGCGACGAUCCGUAACUGGUCUGAGAGGAUGAUCAGUCACACUGGAACUGAGACACGGUCCAG
rnacentral:rRNA from 1 species